UCCCUGGUGGCUCAGACAGUAAAGAAUCUGCCUGCAAUGCAGGAGACCCAGGUUCGAUCCCUGGGUAGGGAA
rnacentral:tRNA from 1 species